rnacentral:rRNA from 1 species
CAGGUACUUCGGUAUGCUGACGAGUGGCGGACGGGUGAGUAACGCGUAGGAAUCUACCUAUCUGUGGGGGAUACCAGUUGGAAACGACUGUUAAUACCGCAUAAUAUCUGAGGAUUAAAGGUGGCAACUUGUUGCUGCCGCGGAUGGAUGAGCCUGCGUUAGAUUAGCUUGUUGGUGGGGUAAAGGCCUACCAAGGCUGCGAUCUAUAGCUGAUUUGAGAGGAUGAUCAGCCACAUUGGAACUGAGACACGGUCCAAACUCC